rnacentral:misc_RNA from 1 species
ACGAGUUUUUGAAACGGGUUGUCGCUGGCUUCUAAACAGAAGCAUGUGCACGCCUGACUCAAUCCACUCUCAAACCACUGUGCACUUACUGUAGGCUUGGUUUUUGAAGAAUGCGCAAGCGUUCAGAUAGGGCCUUGCCUAUGUUUUCACAAACGCUUCAGUCAUAGAAUGUCAUUCGCGUUUAACGCAAUAUAUA